UCUUUAUGUCAUUAUGGCUGACCUUUUCCUCUUCAAACACACACUAAUAGUCUGGUUGGGGAAAGAAUACAUUAAGAUUCUAGGCCACCUCUUGUUUCUUCCUGGUCCCUCAAUGUUCCAGGUGCCCAGUUGACUCUCAGGAAGAUAUUCAUAGGGUACCUUUCCUUAGGUAAAAGGCUCAUCAGCUUUUCUUUGGGCUGGGCUAAAAAGAUAUUCAGCAGAGAACCACCUGCCCAACACACAGGCAAGAUUUCUCUUCCUGGGUCAACUCACAUUACAACAUCCAUGGGGCAUAGAGCUUAGUACAGAAAUGGUUAAUGUUUAUUUCCUGAGUCACUUCUACUGGCCAGGUACAUCUCUUAAGAUAUUUUUGUUUUCCCUAGAAUAAAUCCAGACACUUGACAUGUCUUGAUCAGUGUAGAACAUUUUCUAGAGGUCUUUCCACCAUUCAUGGGAAAGUCCUCAAGAUUUAUUCUGGCCCCGGGAUCCUUCAGGUGAAGGGGACCUCAGAAGCUGCCCCAGGAAGUGGGACCCCUUCUGUUUCCUCUCAGGUGCUGACUAGAGCACCUCGAGACUGCAGUCAGGAGGGUACAGGGACACAUUGUUUUGAGGUGAUAUGGAGGGGCAAGAAGUUCCCUAGUGCAGCCAUGAACAAGGGGAAACACUCCCACAAAGCCAACAGUUCCCAUCAUGCUGCCCCACAGGGCGCGAUGCAGCUGCUGCUGGUAUAAUACGGGGAGGUUAGUCUUCCUCUACUGUUACUGUGAACACAGAGGCUGGGAAAGGUGGUUGUCAGGCGGUCCUGACAGGGACACCCUUAUGCUUCCCACCUUCUUCAUGUGUGCAUUUCAGAUAGGAAAUUUCAUUAGCUUUCCUUCUACAAACAUACCUCUGGGGUGUAUCCUCAACAUUUGGUGAAAUUUUAUCUUCAUUCAUUUAAAAAGAUGUUGAUUUUUUUCAGCACACAGGUAUGGGUAGGGUAUCUACCGGAAUAUGGCAAGACUUGGCCAAUAGGAGAAAAUAACAUUUAUAAUAAAAUGCUCCAAUUAUACCUACUUUUUAAAAAUUGGGGUAAGGGGCUGGGGAUUUAGCUCAGUGGCAUAAGCACCUGCCUUGCAAGCAGGCGGUCAUGAGUUCUAUCCCCGGUAUUGAUAAAAAAUAAAUAAAUAAAAUAAAAAUAAAAAUUGGGGUAAAUGCCCUCAGAUGCCCUCUGUGCCUUAUGUAUAGGCUUUCGUUUCAUUGGUCCUAAUUUUUGCAGGCCUUUCUGUGUAGACUCAGCUCUGUUACAAAAAGACAACACUUCAAAUUUGUUUUGUAAUAAAAAGAGAUAGUGAAUAAAUAUUCCAUCUAGCAAUCUACAGCUUUUCUGUGAUAAGGUAUUAUAGAUUAAAAUACAAAUUUAAAUAACUGGGGGGAAACCAGGGUUCUCAUCUAAUAGUGUCAACACAAUUUUUGUGCUAAAGUGUUGUGUUUCAAACUCUCCCUGUAAAAACUAUAACUAUUAUCUGGAACUAUUCUAUAAAAUUUUACUUCUAAGGCAAUCAUGGUUGCUCUCAUUUCAAUACUAUUGCAACUGAUCUUCUCAGUGUUCAGCAACUAAGGCUCUGAGACCAAAGCUAAAUACAUAACUGGGCUAAGGAAGCAGCCAAUGUUUUCGUUCUGGUCUCCAAAGUCAACAAGGACAGAAGGAAAUCUUUCCAUGUGAACCAACAACUCUGAAUAUCAACUCACCUGAGAAAAACACCUGCGGGGGAAGAGAGAGAGAAAAGGCUGUCAGAAGACUCCUCAAGGGUCUGGGAAGGAGACAGUGAGGUGCUGAAGGAUUCAGGAAGAGCAAGAGACAAGCUAUAACAGUCCGGUCAAAUUCAGGAAUUUUUCCAUCAUUUUUGGGCAGGAGAACUGGACUGACCUAUUUAAAGCUGGGACUCCUCAGAGGAUGUGGUGGUGCUUACCUGUGAUCUCAGCUUCUCAAGGCAGCUGAGGCAGAAGGAUCACUUGAACUCACGAGUCUCACACCCUUGUGAACAACAUAUCCCGAAACAAAUAAAAGUUGUAACUCCUAGCUCUCUCAUAUCCUUUUCUUGCCUUUUGUUUUUCCUCUUUCACUUAUCACCUAACUUACCUCUGUUGUCCUCGUUUAUUUUUGUCUGUUGCCUUUGGGGGUGCAGUGUGUGAAAGGCUGGGAGGUAAAAAGAAUUUACCAGUAAUCAAGGGACCUAAAAGCGUUAAGAGUGCACUGAUGUGCUGCAAGAGAGCAGCUUGUGCUUCCUAGAAAUGCAUACACCAUCUGGGCAAAAGGCUGGGCUUUUCAUAUUCCAUAGUCCCGUGAGGAGGAAGCGUGGAAAUGUCAUCCCAGGGAUACUUUCAUCAGGUCAUGGUGGCUCUGUUGUCCAUCCAUCUCCAUUGUAGGGACAGGCAUUUG